UAGAUACUCCCUUCAUCCCAAAAUUCUCAUCUUAGAUUUGUCUAGAUAUGAAUGUAUCUAGUCAUGUAUUUCUUUGUUUAGAUAUUUAGAUACAUUCAUUUCUAGAAAAAUCUAAGACACGAAUUUUGGGACGGAGGGAGUACACA
rnacentral:pre_miRNA from 1 species